AUUGAACGCUGGCGGAAUGCUUUACACAUGCAAGUCGAACGGCAGCACGUGAGCUUGCUCCUGGUGGCGAGUGGCGAACGGGUGAGUAACAUAUCGGAACGUACCCCGCCGUGGGGGAUAACUAUCCGAAAGGAUAGCUAAUACCGCAUACGUCCUGAGGGACGAAGCGGGGGAUCGCAAGACAUCUCUCUAUUGGAGCGGUGGAUAUCGGAUUAGCUAGUUGGUGGGGUAAAGGCUCACCAAGGCGAUGAUCCGUAGCGGGUCUGAGAGGACGACCCGCCACACUGGAACUGAGACACGGUCCAGACUCCUACGGGAGGCAGCAGUGGGGAAUUUUGGACAAUGGGGGCAACCCUGAUCCAGCCAUUCCGCGUGAGUGAAGAAGGCCUUCGGGUUGUAAAGCUCUUUCAGCAGGAACGAAACGGUCGGCUUUAAUAAAGUCGGCUAAUGACGGUACCUGCAGAAGAAGCACCGGCUAACUACGUG
rnacentral:rRNA from 1 species